GUGGCGCAUUACUCAUUUAACCUACAGCAAACUGAGCCCGUGGAUAGACGUUUACUCACGGCCCGUUUGGGGUUUCAACAGCCGCAACUGGCUACGUCUCUGGUUUGUAGAUGUUCAUCGUCGCGAUUCCUCAAAGGGGACGUUUGUUCGGGAAGCGUUUUAAUCCUGCGUACGCGAUUGGCUCUAGCAAACUGCACAAAUCACAAGGAGCAGGCUGCUGCGUAGCGGCUCGCAAAAUGCUUGGAGUGACCAACCGCACGCCGCUGCUGGCGCUGGAAACGAGCGAGGACACCCUCCCGGGGAAAGCCUUCCAAGCACCGGAAAGAGAGGCUCAUGAACCUGUAAAUUCGAACGCUGUGGCAGACGAAGUUCCCAUAACUAGCUCUGAGCUCGAGCUACCAGCAGAUUCGGACGCUUUAGAAGAGAAGCAGCUACUUCUUCUGCUCAAGAAACAGCUCGGGGCAGAUUUCGAACGAAUUUUUGACUCAAAAAAUCCAUUCAUAGGGGAGGUUUUCUGAGCGAGCCUGCUCAACCUGUCAGGACGGGAUUUAUGUCAACAAUUGCAUCCCAGCGGUGCUCGAGUACGUUCAAAGCCAGGUAAUCCGUGCACGUUGUGGAGCUGGUGCGCAUUUUUUGGGUAUCAUGUUGGUCUUUCUACCCAGGGAGACAGCAUUAAUCUACCAAUCAACAAAUUCUUACUAGCACAUGGAUCCAAUGCGUGUGACUCGUGAUUCAGCACUGACCGAGGCGUUUCAAACGGAUCGACAUGCUCAAAACCGGCGCGAAGAAUCGUGAGAGCUUCUAUUUGGACCGUCGACCGUAGCUGAAGAGUAUGCGUGGAGUCAAGCUUCUGCUGAGGCUACAUAUCCCUGCGGCGCGUUAGGCCGUCGGGUAGAAGUACUCUACGAGCUAAUUGCCUCGUGGAGUACGCGUUUCGCACGCGUCCCUAGCGCACAGUCUUGCCUUCAGACACGAGUGUCGGGACGGAGUCGGGCUGUACACUGGAAACCUGAUGACGUUCACAGCACGCCCACGCGUUGUUGCAGCCUCGGCAACGUGCCCCGAUACCGGCUAUUGUCGCUAAUUUCGAAUCCGAGCACUUGGGCACGUCGGACACCAGGGAUCCGGUUCAAAUUGGCGGCUACAUUUUUACCAGCGAGCUUUUUUGGGUAUUUCCAAUAUGUCCAGCAAUUCUGAUUACAUGGCAUUCACCAUCUGUGUCUAGGCAUCGAAGUGGUACUGCAUAUAUAUGUCCUUCGAAAAUGCGCAUCUCUGUAAACUCUAGCGUUAAGCAGUUCAAUGUUUUGUGGUGGGUACAUGCUUAUUGCCAUUCCAGUGCCCACGAC